rnacentral:rRNA from 1 species
GACAGAGGGUGCAAACGUUGUUCGGAUUUACUGGGCGUAAAGCGCGUGUAGGCGGCUUUGCAAGUCGGAUGUGAAAGCCCACGGCUCAACCGUGGAAGUGCAUCCGAAACUGCAUGGCUCGAGUCUCGGAGAGGAAGGUGGAAUGCUUGGUGUAGAGGUGAAAUGCGCAGAUAUCGGGAGGAACACCCGUAGCGAAGGCGGCACUCUGGGCCGUGACUGACGCUGAGGAGCGAAAGCGUGGGGAGCAAACAGG